rnacentral:rRNA from 1 species
CAGUCGCCACGGUAAUACGGAGGGCGCGAGCGUUACCCGGAUUACUGGGCGUAAAGGGCGUGUAGGCGGCCUGGGGCGUCCCAUGUGAAAGGCCACGGCUCAACCGUGGAGGAACGUGGGAUACGCUCAGGCUAGAGGGUGGGAGAGGGUGGUGGAAUUCCCGGAGUAGCGGUGAAAUGCGCAGAUACCGGGAGGAACGCCGAUGGCGAAGGCAGCCACCUGGUCCACUUCUGACGCUGAGGCGCGAAAGCGUGGGGAGCAAACCGGAUUAGAUACCCCCGUAGUCCCUGUCUCUUAUACA